AGUGAACGCUGGCGGUAGGCCUAACACAUGCAAGUCGAACGGCCGCACAGUAAGAGCUUGCUCUUACGGGUGGCGAGUGGCGGACGGGUGAGGAAUACAUCGGAAUCUACUUUUUCGUGGGGGAUAACGUAGGGAAACUUCCGCUAAUACCGCAUACGACCUACGGGUGAAAGCAGGGGAUCUUCGGACCUUGCGCGAUUGAAUGAGCCGAUGUCGGAUUAGCUAGUUGGCGGGGUAAAGGCCCACCAAGGCGACGAUCCGUAGCUGGUCUGAGAGGAUGAUCGGCCACACUGGAACUGAGACACGGUCCAGACUCCUACGGGAGGCAGCAGUGGGGAAUAUUGGACAAUGGGCGCAAGCCUGAUCCAGCCAUACCGCGUGGGUGAAGAAGGCCUUCGGGUUGUAAAGCCCUUUUGUUGGGAAAGAAAAGCAGCAGGUUAAUACCCCGCUGUUCUGACGGUACCCAAAGAAUAAGCACCGGCUAACUUCGUG
rnacentral:rRNA from 1 species